AAACACGGACCAAGGAGUCUAGCAUGUGCGCGAGUCAUGGGGUCGCACGAAACCCAAAGGCGCAAUGAAAGUGAAGGCCGCCUCCGGCUGGCCCAGGCAGGAUCCCGUCCCCUCGGGGGCGGGCGCACUGCCGGCCCGUCUCGGCGGCAUCGUCCGCGAGGCGGAGCAAGAGCGCACACGCUGGGACCCGAAAGAUGGUGAACUAUGCCUGAGUAGGACGAAGUCAGAGGAAACUCUGAUGGAGGUCCGCAGCGAUUCUGACGUGCAAAUCGAUCGUCAAACUUGGGUAUAGGGGCGAAAGACUAAUCGAACCAUCUAGUAGCUG
rnacentral:rRNA from 1 species